rnacentral:lncRNA from 10 species
AUCAUAUACAUUUGGAUUCUUGCCUGGCAUCACACAGCUGGAUGGAGGGCCAGGGGCUCAAACCCUGAGCUGCCUGAGCAUAAGUCUGUGAGCAUAAAACUCUGUUGGUGUGCCUGACAUAAGAGGCGCUUACUCGGUGAUGGCUUUAGCACCAUGUAUGCAUGCACUGGGUCUGUUAAAAAUUAGUGGGGAGGUUCUAGUUGGAGGUAAGAUGAAGUAGACACACUCCACCUUGUCUCUCCCACAAAAUGCAGCUUCAAACCUGGACUAAUUGCAUGAAUUACCUCCUUUAAGUCUCUGAAAAAAAGACCAGUUAUCAAAGUAACACCAAAUUGGUGGUAAGUUUACUAUUUUUCCCCCAUCCAAUAUCCCCUGAAUUGAAACCCCUGAAUUCAAUGCAGCCAAAAACCUUGAAGUGGAUAUCAGCAUCUAUAGAGAGAUCUCCAGGGAAAACCCUCUGAUUCUGGCUUCGGGACCAAGAAAGGGGUCUUCCACUGCUCCCGCGGUGGACUCGCCUGCGCCGUGGCGGCCCUGUUCAUGGACACGUUCACAGGCAUGUUCAACAUCCCUAGAGUGGCGAGAAGAGUUAUUCCACAUUUCCAGUGAGGAGGCCCAGGCUCAGAGAAGGGCCCUGCCCAUUGCCUUCCGCCUCCCGCCAUGAUGCUGAGGCCUCCCCAGCCACGUGGAACUGUAAGUCCGAUUAAACCUCGUUUUGUUCCCAGUUUUGGGUAUGUCUUUAUCAGCAGCAUGAAAAUGGGCUAAUAUAGGAAACAAAGUGCCUGGCCUGCAGUAACCAUUCAAUCCGCAGGAAUUACCAGGCUUGCUUGUGUUUAGAAUUGCUGGGAUGGCAGCGUGGUUAAGAGCUUGAAUUCUGGAUUUGGACUCCCUGGGUUCUAAUGCUGGAAUUACCUCAUGUUAGGUGGGAAUUUCCAAAAAUUUCACGUAAACUCUCUGAGCCUUAGUUUCUUCAUCUGUAAAGUGGGGUUGAUACACCUCCCCUCUGGGGCCAGGUAAGGAUUGAGUCCAGUAAUUGGUAUAAGCAUCAAUUCUGACAUACAUACAGUAAGUGCUCAAUACAUGCUUGCUGCAUUGAUUCUGAAAUACAUACAGUAAGUGCUCAAUACAUGCUUGCUGCAUCGAUUCUGAAAUACAUACAGUAAGUGCUCAAUACAUGCUUGCUGUCAUGCUUCAUCUCCCACUUCUGCGUUUACUGUCAUACCUCUUCCAUCACCCAACACCUGGAUGGUGGAUGCCUGGGUGACCUCACAGGACCUGUGGCCCCC